UUGGACAAUGGGCGGAAGCCUGAUCCAGCCAUGCCGCGUGUGUGAAGAAGGCCUUUUGGUUGUAAAGCACUUUAAGCGAGGAGGAGGCUCCUUUAGUUAAUACCUAAAGUGAGUGGACGUUACUCGCAAAAUAAGCACCGGCUAACUCUGUGCCAGCAGCCGCGGUAAUACAAAGGGUGCGAGCGUUAAUCGGAUUUACUGGGCGUAAAGCGUGCGUAGGCGGCUUUUUAAGUCGGAUGUGAAAUCCCUGAGCUUAACUUAGGAAUUGCAUUCAAUACUGGAAAGCUAGAGUAUGGGAGAGGAUGGUAGAAUUCCAGGUGUAGCGGUGAAAUGCGUAGAGAUCUGGAGGAAUACCGAUGGCGAAGGCAGCCAUCUGGCCUAAUACUGACGCUGAGGUACGAAAGCAUGGGGAGCAAACAGGAUUAGAUACCCUGGUAGUCCAUGCCGUAAACGAUGUCUACUAGCCGUUGGGGCCUUUGAGGCUUUAGUGGCGCAGCUAACGCGAUAAGUAGACCGCCUGGGGAGUACGGUCGCAAGACUAAAA
rnacentral:rRNA from 1 species